GAGAUUCUUCAAAGUGUCUGACCCAACUAAAUUGAGCAAGCGCAAGAGACAAGAACGCAUUGAACCCCUUUACGAUAGAUACCACGAGCCUAACUCGUGGCGGUUGAGUAAAAGGAGAGCUUGAUCUUUUUGCUUUUUCUACUAUUCGUGGGUUAAUGCUGUGAUCUUAACCACUUGUUUUGUUCGGUGUAAAAGAAUAUUGCUCUAUUUUGAAGUAUAAUUUUGGUCUUAGCAACUGUGGGAAUUACUUCUUUGGUUCAAAGUUGUUUUGUAGCUAACUUUAUGUUGUUUCCUGUUGGAAUCUGAAGAAGCUACGGAUUGUCAAAGUUUGUUCCUGUUCAUAAGAAGGACAGUAUUCGUUGAAUCUUCUCCUGGAGAAACUUGUUAAUAUUCUGAUACAGAUUUUGGUUCAGUGACAAAGUUUUGGUUGGAAGCUCCAAGGACCUAUUAACUUCUUGGUACUUGUGGUUGCUUAAUGCGAGUGAUAUUUCUACUAUAUAAGCGGCAAUGAUGGAUGAACAAGAUGGUACGAACAGGGGCAAUUUAGGGAGCUUAUUGUUUCUUCAUUGAAUAAUAUAGCAGGUUUAAAUCUCAGUGUUUUUCCAUCCUGACUGAUACCAUAUUGGAUGCAAGGGAUCCAAUUGUAACAUUUUUGAGAGUUUGUCUUCACGGUGCUUUUGAUCUAAAGGCAUUUUCAGCAAUUCUGGAACUGAGAGGAUGAUCAUACAAGGAAAGGGUGACUGUUGAUGGUUGAGAUCAAUAAGGUGAUCUUGACUUGUAUCAAAUUACCAAAUGCAAAAACUCGACUGGAGGUUCAAAUAAGAUCAGGCAAUAUAACUAAACUCUACUUUGAUUUGAUUUCCGUAAUGAGGUACUAUGUGUGAUUAUCUGAGACACAAAUAUAUCCAAAGAUAAAGUUUCCACAUCUUGUGUGGUUCUGCAAAUGGAGUAGGCUUUGCUUAAAAUUGCCGCCGUUCAGCUCUACUUUCCUUUUCAAGCUCCGUUUCCAUGAUCGACACAUCCUUGACCGUAUCUCUCAUUCUAUUGCCUCCU